rnacentral:rRNA from 1 species
UACGUAGGGGGCAAGCGUUGUCCGGAUUUAUUGGGCGUAAAGAGCGUGUAGGCGGCCUGACAGGUCUGCUGUGAAAACUCGAGGCUCAACCUCGAGAUGUCGGCGGAAACCGUCUGGCUAGAGUCCGGAAGAGGAGAGUGGAAUUCCUGGUGUAGCGGUGAAAUGCGCAGAUAUCAGGAAGAACACCCGUGGCGAAGGCGGCUCUCUGGUACGUGACUGACGCUGAGACGCGAAAGCGUGGGGAGCGAACAGG